rnacentral:sRNA from 1 species
CUUAGCUGUGACAGUAGUUUUCAGUUUGUCUGCUUCUUCUUUAAGACUAUGUCCUGUCUUUGUGCUCUCUGAUUUUUUUUAUUAUUCUGAAAGAGAUUUGUGGGUUUUAUACUUCGACUUAAGCUGGACGUUUCAGCGCAGCCGUUUUAGCGCAGUGGUUUUAGCGCAGUGGUUGUUGUGGCGUUAUUUGUUUUAGAUAAAUAGAACACAUGUCCAUAUAAUACGUCUUUAAAAAAAGAGAUAUAUCUUUGUUUCGUGCUCGUGUGUGUGCGUGCUGCUCUGAAAUUGUAAAGUGAAAAACUUACUAGAACCAAACUUAGCAUACAUCUCAUUAUCGCAGGUCCACUGAAAAAAGAUGUCUUCAA